CACAAUGAUAAUCGAUAGUAUUCCGGGUUGACGAAUCGGGCAUUUAACCAGUACAGAGUAUCCAUCUACCAAAGCUAAUGUGAAACUCCAAGGUAUAACCAGACCCAUGAUUGUCACCAAAUAGCUACAACAUGAAUAAUAGAAAAUUCCAUGAAUUUUUACUGGUUAGAUUAUCACAGCAAAGAGAAUAGCAGAGAAAAGAGAAAGUACCAGAAAGCUGUGUAGCUGUAGAAUUCAACCCCCAAAGACAUAAAGAGAAGAGAAGCAGAUGAGAACAAAGUCUGGCCUAAUCUCAAACUGAAGCUGAAACUUGUGCCAACAGAGCCAGGUAAUUCAUUCAUGUAACUUAUUCUAUAAGGUUCUAAAUUCUAAACUAUAUAACUCUAUUAUUGUUCCUUCCUCUUCCCUUUGUAAUAUGCUAUCAUCAUAUAUUGUUUUCCUUCAAGACUCAACCACAAUCCCUCACCACCUAGUAUUGUCAUCUAACCUUAGCUGAAUCUUUGAAAACACAAAAACAUUAUUGGCAUCAGUUGAUCCUUAACACUUCUUUUCCAAGAAGAAACUUCAUGAAUGAAGAUUUCUGGCUAGAUGGAAGCUUUUGCUAUAUCUCAGUUGAUUGAGCAAUAAUGCAGUUUCCUUAAUUAUCACAAAUGAGUUACUGUUUUUUCGGUGGCAUGUCCUUAGCACCGCUAGAUAUAUCAGAUUUCUGUGACAAUACUUUGUAGGUAGAUUUGGAUAGCAGCAAUGUUUUUAGGUGUUGUACAUAGUAGAAAGAGAUUAAAAUAAUUUUGAUAUUUGAAAAAUUAGUUAUAUAAUAUAUUCUAAAGUGUGAUCAAUAAGAUGCUUACUUUGUUAGAUUUGAUCCUUAAGAUUGUUUAGAUUUGGUUAAUAUACUUUUUAUGUGGUUUUGAAUGGUCGUUGAUCCUGUUAUAAGGACGAGGCAACGUAGGCAUAUGUCCAAAAUGAAUUCAUACCAUUGCUUUAAGAAGGAACAUAGAUUCUACAUUUGUCACAACCUUAUUUGACCCUAUUUUCAUUGGUGAAAUGAUUCGAUCAUACGAAGCAAGUGGAUGUAAUGUAGUGGUGGCAGCAAUUUUAAGUACACAGCUUAAUUCGGCAUGUAAACAACUAGACACUUUCCAAACUUUUAUAUCCAAGGUGUGUAUAUAUUGGAAUUAAUUUCUAUAAAGCAAUUCUCAAAUACAAAUAUUAAAAUUAUAAUCAUAAUUUUAUGACGGAAUAUAAUUUACAUUUUGGACUGCCGAAAAGUUUUAUCUUUAGAUCCGUCCAAAUAUUUUUUAUAAUCCUUAAUAGAUCAAUAUAUAUAUCAAUAUUAUCUCCAUUUUUUUAUUAUCAAAACAAUGGAUUUUGGUAAAGUCAUUUUAAAUUCUCUCAAAAAAUUACUUUUCCUCUUUAAAAUGCUUUAUUAAAAUAGACUCUAAGGAUUUUAUUUUUUAAAAGGCAAAUUAUGUUAGUAUCUUCAAGAUCGGAGAGAAAAGUAGAUGAAAAUAAAACGCUAAAGAGUAAAUAACAAGAAUUAAAAAGAUAAAGGUUAAAGAAAUGACACUAGAGAAUUAUCCAAGUUCGGUCGAUGUUAGCCUAGUUCUGUCUCCAAGAGAUCUUCUUGAGAUUUUACUAUAAUAUUGAAUCUUUACAAGUUAUGCCCAUGAACCUUUAAUACAAGCGAAUGAAGAGAUUUUACAUCGAGUUAUCCCCUAAAUCAAAAGAGAGCUUUUCCACAGGAUGAACUCACGAACCGAGUAGAGAUUUUACAAGCUGAUCUCAUUAACCAAACAUAACUUUUCCAUGAUGAGUUUUAUAACCAAACAAAGAUCUUACAAGUGGUUGAUCUAAUGAAUCAAAUUCAAUUCUUCAAGAGUAUCACACUCUUGAAAAUAACAACAGUGGCACGACACUCAUAUAACUCUUUCUUCACAAUCAAUUUUCAGUUACAAUCCAUUAAGGAAACUCUUGUGAAAUAAAAUAUUUAAAGAGAGAGAAGAAAAAGAUAAAUUCUAAAGAUUUAGAAAAAAUCCAAAUUAUGGUGUAAAAUAAAGUGAUGAGAGACCUCUUUUAUAUAGGAGAAAAAUUGACUCAAAAUGUGAAUAAUACACGAGCCGAAUUAAUGGUCUAAUCGAUUAGGCUAAUCGAUUAAGUGCAUCCAACAAUUGAUUAUUGUGACCAUUUUUUCUUUGAUAUAGAGAUGUUACCAAUCAUUAAAACACUAUCAUAAUCGAUCAUAUACUCGAUUAUACACUAUCUAAUUGAUUAGACAUAUAAUCUAAUCGAUUAGAUAACUUGAAAAAUUCUCCCAAUUAAGCAGAUAAUCCUUUAAUCAACUAGUUAGGCCUUAAAACAUUUUUAGGUGAUAUUGUUAACUAAAGAGAGACUUUUAAAACUAUUUUAAGUGUGUGUGUGUGUGUGUGUGAGUGUGUGUGUGUGUGUGUGUGUGUGUGUGUGUGUGAGAGAGAGAGAGAGAGAGAGAGAGAGAGAGAGAGAGAGAGAGAGAAGCAUUUCACUUGAAUAAUCUACAAGAUGGGGCUUGAGAUAUCUUCAAGUUAAUCACCAUCAUCGUAGGGUUGGAAAUAUUUCAACACUGACUUCAACAUUAAUUAAGAGUCGUCAUCAUUAAAAUAUUAGAAAGGUUUUCUGCAAUAUCAUCAAGUUCAUACUUACAAACACAUAGUUAACGGUGAACCAGGACGAGUGGACUGGAGUAACCUAGUUAACGGUGAACCAGGAUUAAAAUACCUUGUUCUUUUUAUCAUUGUUGCUAUUGUUUUUGGGUCACAAAAAGUUGUCAUAUUUAAAACCCAAUUCAAUCCCCCAUUUCUUGUGUCUCAUGAACCUUCAAUUGACAUCAGAUCUCUGGUUCUUGUAUUGACUACUUUGUGUCAAACACUUAACCAUGUUAGAUAAAGAUCCAUUUUUUUAAACACAGAAUGACACAUGCAAAUAAUGAUAAAGAUCAUUAUUUUGUCAAACCUCCAAUAUUUGAUAUAGAAAAGUUCGACUAUUGGAAAGAUAGAAUUAAAAGUUUCUUCAUAGGUUGUGGUAUUGAUCUAUGGGAUAUGAUAAUAGAUGGUUACACACAUCCUAUAGAUGCAAAUAGUACAAAGCUUGAAAUAAGAAAAAUGAAUGAGCAUAAAAAGAAGGAUCACAAGAAUUAUCAUAGAUCCGAAACUAUAUUACUGAAUGCUAUUUCAUAUUUAGAGUAUGAAAAGAUUACAAAUAGAGACUCUACGAAGUCUAUAUUUGAUUCUUUGAAAAUGACUCAUGAAGGAAAUUAGCAAGUUAAGAAAACUAAAGCCUUGACUUUAAUCCAAAAAUAUGAAAUGGUUGAGGAGACAUUCUCAAGAUUUCAAACUCUCGUAGUUGGAUUAAAAGUCUUGAAUAAAGGUUACACCACUACAAAUCAUGUAAAGAAAAUCAUCAGAAGUCUGCCAAAGAAAUAGAGGCCAAUGGUGACAACACUUAAGGUGUCAAAGGAUCUGAACAACACGACUCUAAAAGAACUUAUAAGUUCUCUAAGGAGUCACAAGAUUUAUCUUAAAGGAGAUGAGCCCUAAAAGAAAGUAAAGUUGGUGGCUCUGAAGUCCAAAGGUAAGCCUGAGAAGGUUAAAGCUCUUCAAGUUGAAAAAGAAUAGUCUGAAGAAGAGGACACGUUUUCUCUACUCUCCAGAAGGGUCAACCAACUCUAGAAUAAAAGAAAAACUUAGUUCAAAGGUUACAGAAGAACAUGUGGACAAUCUAAGUCAACCUCUGGGCAGAAGAAGUCUUGAGCUGACAAAGAUGUUAUCUGCCUUGAGUGCAAAUAGCUUGGACAUUAUAAGAAUGAGUGUCCCAAACUCAAGUCUAAAAAAAAUUAUUCAGAGAGAAGAAGAAGGUUCCAAUGGAAACCUGGGAUGACUCUGAAUCUUUAGAAGAUGACUUUAAAGAAGAAUGGGCUAACACAACUUUGAAAGCUAGCACCGAAGAAUUUGAAUCAGAAUCCAAUUCAGAAUCAGACUUAGACUCUGACGAGGUAUUUUCUCACCUCACUCGUUCUGAAUUAGAGUCAUCCUUAUCUGAGAUUCUUGAAAAGAGUUAGAAGCUUCAGUAAAAAUAUUAGAAUCUGAAACAAAUUCAUGUGGUCAAUUCUGAAGCCCAUAGUGAACUAAUGAAAAAAAACUUUAUUUUAAAAGAAAAAGUCAGUAGUUUAGAAAUAAAAAAACUCUACCCUAAAAAGCAAUAGUGAAAAACUUGAAAAAAAAUCUUUUAGAACCUCCUAUGGACUCUGAAUGUGCUUCCAAGAGAUAUGAAACAUCUUUUCAAAAAUUCAUAGCAAAGAACAUCGGUAGAAGCAAGAUGGCUUCAAUGAUCUACGAAGUUAGUGGAAACAGGAAAAGAGACAUUGGUUAUGUUAAACCAGAGAAAUCUAUGUUCAACCCUAAGAGACUAUGAUAAAUCCAAAAGAUUUUACUCUCGUUUCACCUAUGGUCACACACAUAAUAUAUAUUCUGCACAUAAAUCCUGAGUUGAAAAGACCUCUUGGAGAACUAACCACAAAGGACCCAAACAGAUGUGGGUAUAUAAAAACAAAAUAGACCAUGUUGCAUAUAUCCUUAGCAGCUAAGUUGAGACACCAAUCAUGGUACCUGGACUCUAGGUGCUCUCGACACAUGACUGGAAGAAAGAAUACGUUCCAAGAGCUGGAACUUAAGCUUGGAGGCUCUGUAGGCUUUUGAGGAAAUAAAAAAGGUAAGAUCAUUGGUAAUGAAACAAUAGAUAAUGGUUUUAUUCCCUCUAUUACGAAUGUCUUAUUAUUUAACGGUCUAAUGCAUAACCUCUUGCCCAAUAAAUCAUUUGUUUAUUAACUUAGGAAAUCUUUGUAUGGUCUGAGACAAGCUCCCAGAGCUUAGCAUGAAAUACUUUAUAACUUUCUUCUGCAUAAUGGUUUUUCAAGAGGAAAAGUUGACACAACUCUCUUCUGUAAAUCAUUCAACAAUGAUAUUUUAAUAGUUUAAAUUUAUGUUGAUGACAUCAUAUUUGGCUAUACUAAUGCUUCUAUUUGUCAAGAUUUUUCAAAUUCAAUGUUGGUUGAAUUCGAGCGAAUUGAAGUUCUUUCUAGGAAUUCAAAUUAAUCAAGGUCUAGAGGGAACUUACAUUCGUCAGAGUAAGUAUACAAGAGAACUUUUGAAGAAGUUCGAUAUGGCCGAAAGAAAACUUGCCAAAACUCCAAUGCAUCCAACGUGUAUUAUAGAGAAGGAUGAAGAAGGUAAAAAGAUAGGACAAAAGGUAUACAGAGGUAUGAUUGGCUCUCUUCUAUACUUAACUACCUCUAGACUUGACAUUUUGUUCAGUGUGUGUUUGUGUGAGAGAUUCCAGUCAGAUCUUAGAGAAUCCCACUUUACAACUAUUAAGAGAAUCUUUAGGUAGCUAAAAAAUACUACUAAUCUUGGUUUGUUUUAUAAGAAAUAUUCAAAUUACAAGUUAGUAGGUUAUUGUGACGCUAACUAUGUUGGAGAUAGAAUUGAAAGAAAAAGCACCAGUGGAAACUUCCAGUUUCUGGGUGACAAUCUAAACUCAUGGACCAAUAAAAGACAAUCAAUGAUUGCACUCUCAACAACAGAAGCUGGAUACGUUGCAACAUCUGGAUGCAUCACACAAAUACUCUGGAUGAAGAGUCAGCUAGAAGACUAUCAACUUUACGAGAGUAACAUUCAUAUCCUUUGUGAUAAUACCCAUGCUAUAUGUUUAUCUAAGAAACUCAUUUUACACUCUAAAGCUAAACACAUCGAGAUAAAACAUCAUUUUAUAAGCGGCUAUGUUCAGAAGGGUAUUAUUAAUUUGAAAUUUAUUGAUGCAGACCAUCAAUGGGCUGAUAUCAUUACAAAAUCCCUUGUUGAAGACAAAUUUGUUUUCAUUCUGAAGAAUUUAAAAAUGGAAAUCUAUCCUGAGUAAAAUAUACAAAUCUCAAUGUGUGUUGCCUUUAGAGAGUCAAAAUGAGAAUUUGCGAAAACAUGAUUUUGAUUUAGUUAACCCUCUGAAGUGAGAAGGUUUUAUGGGUCAGAAGGUCCUAAGUCAGAAUCCCUCUGGGAAUUUCUGUCUUCUGGACUCUGAUUGAUAUUAAUGUUUUUCUUCAUGCACUUUCAUUGGCUAAGAACUAUGUUGACACAUGUCUAACUAAUUCUUACAAUAGUAAAACAUUUAAACACCUCAAGAACUAUUUUUGGGGGGUAAAACAAAAUUAUGUUCUAACACACCCUUUUUCAUUAAUUGUUUUUCUUUUCUGAGUAUAGAAUGAUGUCAUCUAAUAAGCGUGCAAAGUAACGUGCCAUAUUGUAGACGUUAUUACAGAAGAUUUUCCAAGGUCGCCAUUGCUUGUCUUGUCAAAUAUUUGUGUGUUUAAAAAAAUUCUCGAAACAAACUGUAUCACUCGUUUCACACACAACACAACUCUCACUACUCACACUUGAAUCUUUUCAACCCUAAAAACCUAAAACUUCAAAGGUUGUUCAACAAAAUCCACCUGUAAUGAUUGAAAACUUCUCUGAAACCUCUAUAUCAACACCGGUGACUCACUCAAUGGAUGUUAGUGGCAAGAGAAUCAUAAACAAAAGUGUUGAGAAAAAGGAUCAGUUAUUAUUGCUCAGAAAACAUUACAGGUCCAUAAUCAAUUACAAAAGAAAACAUAAGCACUACAAAAAGUUACAUCUUUCAGACUAGGUCGGCAUUCCAACCACCUGACCUUAGGAAGGUCCUGUAAUCCUCAUCAGUGUAUGAUUUGUUGUCAUCAAUUGGCUUCUUCUACUUAAGGUUCUUCAUCAUUGUUACUGAAGUCCUUCCUAAUACAAAUGCUCCAGUAGAUGUGUCAGCUUGUGUUAUUACACCAUCAAAGGAUUUUAACCUAUCAUUUUUGUGUUUAUUCCCCUCAGUAUCAUUGAGUUUCCCAAUGGCCUUAUUGACUACCUUGGAGGAACCCUUCUUAGAGUUCUCAGAUGAUUUGCUCAUUUUGACUGCUAUGAGAAGAGCUAGAUGGAAAAGAGAGGUACGUGUCCUUUCUUGUAACGAAGCCUAACUUAUAUAGAGAGUUUGGGAUAAAGCAUAAUCAACUUAUUUAAUGUGCUCCAAUGGACAAAGGAGUGAGAUAUUUUAUUUGUCUUCAAGCACAUCUCCCCAAGCUCGACUGCUACUGAUUCUUUCAAAUGCUCAGUUGUCAGAACAAUAUUGGACCAACUCAAGAAUUGAAUAGAUGUUAUCAACCAUUCUAGCAAGUUUACGACUAUCAUCCUAAAAAUUUCUUUUUCUAGAUUGAUUAUAUUUUUAUCAUCAUGUAGUGUUACUCUCAAAAAUCAAUUUUAAAGUUUUUUAUUUUUCUAUUUCUAUCUAUUCUUUUUUAUUGGUGCCAAAGGUGGAGAAAAGAUAUGAUUUUGAUUCAUUUUUAUCCCAAGAUAAAUCCCAAACAUGUUAUAUUUAUUGGAUAAAUUAUUAGACUAUCUGUGCUGAUUGAAAAUAAAAAAAUUCUAAGUCUUAAGCUCAUGGGGAGCUUGCAAACUUCACUAUGUGAACUUAAGCCAAGAAAAUUUUGAAGUCUAAAACUCAGGGGGAGCUUACAAACCUAACUUUGAUUUUUAGAUGAUUAUUUGUUAAGUCAAAAUUAUUCAUUAAAGUUAUAGUAUUUGUCAUCAUAAAAAAGGGGAGAUUGUUGGAACAUGUUUGGUUAUACAUCUUCUAUCCUUAAGUUUUGAUGACAACGAAGUAUAAAGAACAAUUUUAUACUCUAAUAGUUUAUUGAUUAUGCAAAAUCUGAACAAGCCUGAUACUAGAUAAAGCAUAAUUUGAACAAGCCUGAUACUAGAUAAAGCAGAAUCUAAACAAGUAAGAAGCUAGAUAAAUUAGAAACUGAACAAGUUAGAAGCUAGAUAAAGCAGAAUCUGAACAAGAUAGAAGCUAGAUAAAUUAGACUCUGAACAAGCCAUACGCUGAACAAAGUUGAACAAAACAGACUCUGGACUCUAGAUAAGAGAGACUUUGGACUUUCGAUAGAAAGACUCUGGACAUUGGACUCUGGAUACCAUCAGAUUUUGAACCAAAGUGAUAAUUCGAAGAAGUGCUAAACUUAAAGCCAACCUCAUGAUAUCCCAGUUAACGCUUCUAAAGUAAAUAACCCAUAUGUACUAUAAUAAAUUCAACCCUCAUAUUCACUAGACUCCGAAGUCUAUCCUCAAGGCUCUGAACUCUGAUCAAACUUCAAAACAUCUCAUAUGUAAAGCCAAUGAUUUAGAGAAAAUGACUGAAUGUAUAUUCUUGUCGAUAGUACAAUUUGAGCGGCGAAAUUAAAAGCACUGUACUAUAAACGACUAUGAAAUAUUUUCUCUCCACUACCCACGAUUUAUGACUGAACCUCGUACCAACUAUAACAGUUGUGAAUUUGAAGAAGUUUCCAAUUCUAUUCUCGAACGAUAUUAUUUAUCAUCUAUAUAAAGAGGGCAGAGGAAUUGUGAAAAGAGAGAUUUUGCAAAGAACUUGAACGUGGAACUUUAUGCUGAAAGAAUUUCAAUAUAGAAAAUCAACAUUGAGAAAGAAAUAGAUAAAAACACUUAGAACUUCAUUUUAUAUAUUCUUAAGUGUAAAGUUUGUUUAUUAUUGUGUGUAUCUGCUUAUUUAGAGGAAAUUUUAUAAACACAAAUAUAGUAUUUAAUAGUUGUUAAAUUUCUUGAGGGACUAGAUUUUAGUCAGAAGCCUCAAGAAGUCAUUCAUGUGUAGUCUUUGAGUUGUAAUUCUUUAAGGGACUAAGUGUAGUCAGAAUCCUUGAGAAAUUAUUGACGGGUAGUCUUUGAGAUUGUAAACAGUUUGAUUAUUGGAUUAAGUCUUAUUGAGAAGGCAAAACCACUCUGACGAGUGGACUGGACUAACCUAGUUAACGAUGAACCAAGAUAAAAAUACCUUGUUCUUUUUAUCAUUGUUGUUAUUGUUUUUGGGCCACUAAAAUUUUUCAUGCUUGCACCCAAUUAAGGGUUCAAAUCAAAUGGUUUUUCCAAAGAAAUUUGAUUUGAUUAUGACCGCUUGAUAUAGGUAACCAAUUCACUAAGAACUCUCGGACUUUGAAUUUUAAAUCAUUUUCAAUCAUAGAAUUAGGAGUAAUUCAACCCCGAUAUAAGAAGUGAACAACUAUUCUAAACAACACUGCCUCCUUAAUCACUUUGCUCUUACAUGCCUUAUUCUUAGGAGUUGUGGACCAUCAUGUUCUUCCUUAAUCACUUCUCCCUUACAGGCCUCGUGCUUAUGGGUUAUGGGCCCUCACAAAUAUUGUAUCCCAAGCCCAUAUAUCAUCAUCAAACUCGGCCACUCACUUAUAUCGACAUGAUCUACACGAGAAACCUCAAAUAAGGUUCAUCAAACUAUGAUACAUGUUCGACACAAAAAACCUAAAAGGUGAGUUUUCCACCCAGACUCGAUGCAUUCCACUAGGUUAUAUAUAGUAUAUAUAAUAUAUAUAUAUAUAUAUAUAUAUAUAUAUAUAAUAUAUAUAUAAAUAGAAAAUAAAAUAAUAUUUAAUCUAAACGGUAAAGUAAAAUAAACAGUAUAUAAUUAUGAAACUUUAACUAGACAAUAUACAUAUUUAAUCUUAAAACUGAAAUAUAUAUAAUAUAUAUAUAUAUAUAUAUAUAUUUAUAUAUAAUAUAUAUAUAUAUAUAAUAAUAUAUAUAUAUAUAUAUAUAUAUAGUAUAUAUAUAUUUAUAAAACUUAAAAACAAUUAUAUAUGAGAUUAAUUAUUAUGCACUGUCAGUGUAAAAUGUUUUACACUGUCGAUUCAUCAUCAUCAUCCAUCUGCAUUACUUUAAAGAUUUUUAAGAUAAAAGUCAAAUUUGUUUAAAUAUCCAACGGUCAUGAUUAACUGACGGUGUAAAAUCCUUUUACACUGUCAGUUUAUUUUAAUUAAAUCCAUUAUAUAUACAUUAUGAAACUAAAAAUAAUUGAUGGUGUAUAUAUAAACUCAGAGUCCAUUAUAAAAACUAACCAAGAGAUAUUAUAAAAUUAACCAAAAGUAUAUAUAAAACUAACAAAAGAGAGAGUAUAUGUAAUAUAUAAAAAUAAAUAUAAAAAAAACAGAAAAACAUAUAAUAUAUAUAAAUUUAUUCAGAUAAAAAAAGAAUUAUCUAAAGCUUCAAAAAACAUACUGGAAAACAACGAUACUGACAAGUUGGCGACAGUUCCAACAACUGAGGAAAUAAGAAGGCUUUGUGGGUGAGGCUGUAGUUAUUGUUGUAGAUUAACCGAUACAUCUAUUUGAUUUGGAAUUUUUGAAUUUUUUUACUAAAAUAACCCAGUUUUUCAAAAAAAAUCCCAAAAUAACCUUGUUUAAAAAAAAUCCCAAACUACCCCACUUUUAGGAGGAGGCGCCAAUCCAAUUGGCGUCUCCUCUUAAAAUUAGAGUGCAGGCGCCAAUUGGAUUGGCUAGGGCACAUGGUGCAGCCAAUUCAAUUGGCGCCCAUGUGUAUGGUUUCAAAGGAGGUGCCAAUUAGAUUGACACCUCAGUGUAUUUUGUAAUUUUUUUUGUUAAACAGUCUACGUGAUACAUAAUUUCGAAAUAUGACCAAUUCAUAUUAAUAUAAAUUCCCGUUUACACAAAAAGGACUAAUGUUGGUGACCGGGAUCACCUAACCGACCUCCGGUCCCACAUCCCCUAACUACCCGAGCCCGUUGCCCUAACCCGCGUUGAUGAUUCACAACUGGUGUUUGAGCAUCUAAGGGGCCAGGAACAUCACUACCAACUACAGGAGAUGGCCUGUUGAGAUAGUUAGACAAAUCAACAUAGUCUUGAGUAUGCAUUGAAGGUGUACCGCCAUAGCUAAGUUCAUGACCCAUGCCAGAGUAGUUGGGUUUUGUUUGACUUAUUGGUGGACGACCAGAACGGUUGAAGGGAGACAUAGGUGUGAAUGAUGCGUUGAGGAAAGGUUGGAAAGAUUGUUGGAGUGUUUGGUAGAGAUAUGGUUGUUGAAGGUUUCAGUUUUGUGAGGUUUGGGUUUCUUGGCUAUGGUAGGAGGAUGGGCGGUUGGUGUUAAAUGAUCGUUGAGUGUUCUAGCUAAGGCGGCUUUGAUAGGGUGAUGUGUUGGGUGCGAAGUGAUGUUGGGUCUCUGGUUGAUGAUCUAUUUGUUGGUGGUGGUACGGAGUAUGCUCUUGGUAUUGUGGUUGGGUGUAUGGCAUGUUAGGGUUGUAUGUUUAUGGAACGAAAAGUUUGACGAAUAUGGGGUUGUGUGUAGCCGGUCUGACAAUGUUGUUAGGGGUUAGAUGUUGAUGCGUCUGGUGUGUAAGUUUGUUGGAGUGGGUCGUAUAGGUACAUAUCCUUAGCGAUGAACUCAAAACCAACUGAUCUGUACCAAACCAUAUAACUACAACUUGGUUUUUCUUCAUUUGGCAUCACUGCGUCAGUUAAGACAUGGUCAUGGCGGUGCUUCCAUUUGCGACACUCAAAUCUUAUAAAGCUUUGCCAUGGAUUGAAGUUCCAUUAAUCGUUAACUUUGUGCAGAUUCCAUUCUCCUAGGUUUGUUGGGGGAUCUGGGAUGUGUUGAAGCAUACCGAACUGCAACUUCACAUGAUAACUGUUGUGCAUCUCCACAGUUGUGAAUCUUAUUAUCAGUGUGCAUGCAGUCCAUACGGUUGUGUCUUCUUCGUUGACUUCAUGGUCAUAAUCUAAAUUUAGGUAUGGACGCCAAAUGAACUGAAAUGUGAAAGUAACUUAGAUUAUAAACUUGGUAGAAGAAGUUAACAAAUUAUAAUGAAAUAAUGGGGUUAUUAUCCAUACAUUUGUCGGUCGAAGGUGAUCCAAGAGAUUGCGAUACUGGGUAAUCCAAUGUUUAGGACAUUUGUUAUAACUCAUACCACGUGCCGACCAUUUGCACCAUAAAGGUAAAAAUAUUAGUUAGAGAUAAUAAUCGUUAAAGUAAGUAAAUAUAUAUCAUUUUAAACAACUUACUUUUGUGCAUACAAGAAUGUGAAAUGAUUGUUGUUAACGGGCGCUAGGGACGGUAGUCUUGACCAACCCCAUGCUUGGAGCAAAACAGCACAUCCAGAAAAGGUAGAUGUGUCUUUGUGUGAAUGUUUACACAAAGAGCUAUAAAGAUAGGGCAGACAAGUGGAUCCCCAACUAUAACUUCCUAUUCUAUCUACAUGUCUUAGUAAAGGUAAACACAUAACAUGCAUACUAGAACAAUUACCUUCGGGAAAUAAAAAAGAACCAAUUAAAAGCAUAAUGUAACACCUAGUUUUUAUUAUUCGAGCCUCUUCGGUAGAAUGCUCAUCUAAAUGUAAAUUGUUAUAAUAUGACUUAAGGCGUGAAAGGAGUAUACAUAUUCGAGCCUCUUCGGUAGAAUGCUCAUCUAAAUGUAAAUUGUUAUAAUAUGACUUAAGGCGUGAAAGGAGUAUACCUUGACCUCUUGAGUUGUCAUCUAACAAAUCAGUAUCCAAGAGGUCCAUGAAAAUUGAAUUCACAUAGUUGGUUUUACCAUUUACAGCUUUACCUUCAAUAGGCAGUCCCAAUAGCAUGUAGACGUCUUCUAACGUCACGGUACACUCAUCGGUUGGAAACCAGAAUGUGUGUGUCUCGGGACGCCAUCUUUCGCAUAACACAAGAAUGAAUUUAUUAUCCACCGACCAAGACAUACUUUUGCUUAUAUGUCCAAAACCGGAGAGUUCGGCAUACAGUUGAAUCAUCGGGUCCAUGUGGACAUAUUCGUGGACCCGAGUACGGAACCUUGAAACAUCCUAUAAAAGAAACAAGAAAAUACUUUACUAAGUUGAUAUGUUAUUAAAAUGUACUCUAGACAAAUAACAAAAGAAUAAAACGCUUACAUAAGUUGCUAUGUUUGCAAUUGUUCCUCUGUGCGAUUCGCCCAUUGUGAGGAUAGACAUCUUGUCGGAGAUGAAAGAGGUUGGUGCAGAUGAAAGAGGUUGUUGCAGAUGAUAGAUUUGAUGUUGUAGAGGAAGUAGUGAGUGAUGGUGUGGAAGAAAUGUUAGAGUUACCUUCCUAUUUAUAUGCAAAAGUGUGGAGCAUAGAAAAAUGUAUUUGCAUGUGGUAGCCAAAUGAAUUGGCGCCUAUGUGCAUUUUUUACAUGGUGUCGCCAUUCAAAUUGGCGCCUCCAUAGGCUCAUGCAUGACACACCUAGCUCUGCAUGCUUGAUUACGAGGUCUGCAUGCAUGCAAGACAUGGUGUAGCCAAAUGGAUUGUCGCCCAUGUGCAAGGAUUGUAAGGAGGCGCCAAUUCAUUUGGAGCUAGUGCUUGCAUGUGUGACACAUGACUUUCCUCUCUCUUGCAUGCUAGACACAUCACUUCAGACUAGCUUGCAUGUUUGACACAUCACUUCGGACUAACUUACAUGUUAGACACAUCACUUCGGACUAGCUUGCAUGUUAGACAAAUCACUUACCUAUUUAAGUGUCUUACUAUCAACAUCCAACAAUCAACACACAUUCAUAUGCAACAAGAAAUUAAUUUUCAUCUGCACCAGAAAUAUUAAAAUGUCAUCUUCAUCGAAAUAUAGUGUCAAUGUUCACUGCAAUGGUGAGACAUAUGAGUCUGAGUUAUACGGAUUUUGUUUUCGAAACACCAAUACCAUUCGACUUACGAUCAAGAGAAAUGUAAAUUUCUUGCAUUUGAAAAAAAGAAUACAACCCUGCAUAGGAUCUGGUAUUGUGUCAAAGAUCACAUAUCAAAGUCCAAUAUUUUUUGAGAACAGUCAAUGCAAGUUUUUCUCGCUUAAGGUACGGGAUAAUGAAGAUGUUGAAUACAUAUUUGUUAGUCAUGAACAUUCUGGAUGCAAUUGUAUUGAGUUGUAUAUUACUCUUCAACCAUGUAUACCAUCUCAGCAAUCUCAAAUAACCAGUUAGGAUGAAUCUGAUGAAUUUGAUUCACAAUACUCAGAUGAUGUCGACCCAGAAGCAGAAGCAGAAGCAGAAGUCAACGUCGUUGAUGAAGAAGAAGAGGAGACUGAAAUACAGGUCGAUCAUAUGUUGAACAACGACAUUGAAGAUGAUGACCAACCAACGCCAUUACCUCCUAGUCAUGUCUACAAUCUGCCUCAACAUAUGCAAACAUGGAUCUGCAUGACGAUGAAACAUCCAACAGUGUUUUCUAUAAUCCAUAUCCACGACCAGAAGGCGAGUUAAAGGUGGGAGACAUGUUCCGCACUAAAGAAGAAUGUGUGCGAGCUAUCAAAAAAUUCCACAUGAACAACUCUGCUGAUUUUACAGUGAAACACACUGAUUCGAGAAGGUAUGUCAUCGAAUAUCGUAACAUCCUUUGUAAGUUUCGGUUGACUGCGUCUUACAAAAAGAAAAGCGACUCUUGGGAGAUAGCUUCAAUAACUUGACCUCACAGUUGCAUUGCAACUAACGUCGAACAAGAUCACCGUAAAUUAAGCGCUACAUUGAUAUGUCAAGACAUUUUGCCGCUUGUUAACAAAGACCCGUCAGUGAAGGUGAGUAUAAUUAUAUCUCAUAUCAUAACAAGAUAUAAUUAUACUCCAUCUUACAAUAAAGUGUGGAUUGUGAGGACAAAAGUUGUUGAACAGGUAUUCGAUAACUUGGAGGAUUCAUACAAAGAAUUGCCAAAGUUUUUAUGGGCACUAAAAACAUAUGUCCCAGAAACUGUGGCAAUUAUGGACACAUUUCCAGCAAUGACGCCAGAAGGAACCUGUGUUACUAGUAAUAAAAUCUUUCACCGUCUGUUUUGGGUGUUUGACCCAUGCAUCAAAGGUUUUGCAUUCUGCAAACCUAUUAUUCAAAUUCAUGGAACAUGGUUAUACGGCAAAUACACGGGUACUUUGCUUAUGGCGGUUGCACAAGACGGCAACAACAAUGUCUUUCCCAUUGCCUUUGCUCUGGUUGAAGGCGAAACUGCUGGUGGUUGGGGUUUCUUUCUUCGACAUCUCAGAAUGCAUGUGGCUCCACAAGCUAAUCUCUGUUUCAUUUCUGAUAGACAUGCUACCAUUGAGAGUGCCUACAAUAACUGUGACAACGGAUGGCAUGAUCCUCCUUCUACCCAUGUCUAUUGCAUUAGACAUAUUGCGUAAAACUUCAUGUGUGCAAUAAAAGAUAAGAAUCUUCACAAGAAGGUGGUGAAUGCUGGGUAUGCUCUAACUCAGCCGUCAUUUCAAUAUUACCGUGAUGAAAUUAGACCGUCUAAUGAAGAUGCAGGAAGAUGACUGAAUAACAUACCAGUAUAGCAGUGGACAAGGGAAUUUGAAGGAGGCUGUCGAUGGGGCCACAUGACAGCAAACCUUGUGGAAUGCAUGAACGGCGUAUUCAAAGGAAUUAGAAAUCUGCCAAUAAUCGCCUUGGUCAGAUCAACCUAUUAUAGUUGGCUUCUACGUUCGCAACCAGAGGUGAAAGAUGGAGUGCGGUGUUAAUGUAUGGGCAAGUAUUCAGUGAGUGUUGCAUGAAAGUCAUGAAAGAGGAGAGCAUCAAAGCUAGCACACACGCUGUAACAGUCUUUGACCGUCAUAGGAAAAAUUUCAGCGUGCAGGAAAUAAUGGACCACAACGAGGGGAGACCAAAUUUAGCCUAUGCUGUCAAACUAAACAGAAGUUGGUGCGACUGUGGAAAAUUCCAGGCCUUCUGCAUUCCUUGCUCCCAUGUCAUUGCAGCAUGCGCACAUACUCGCCAGGAUGUUUACAGUCAUCUAUCUGAUGUGUACAAGGUCAUCACCGUCAUGAAUGUAUAUAAUAAAAGCUUCUCGGUGCUACCAAUGGAGGAGUACUGGCCUCGAUAUGAAGGUGACAUAGUUUGGCACAACGACGAGAUGCGUAGAAAGAAAAAAAGACGGCCAAACAACACAUGUAUCAAGACAGAAAUGGAUACGACAUAUAAAAUAAUAAGACUAUGUAGUAUCUGUCGUCAACCAGGACACAAUAAGAACAACUGUCCCAAUCGAGGAGCAUCAUCUGGGUCAUAAUCUUUUUGCAAUAUUGGAUUUUUGUAACCUUCAAUUUUUAUAUAUCAUUAAAUUUUUAUCACAACGAGGUUCAGAAUAAACAUCACUACAACAUAAGCAAACUGAAAAUAGAAUAUUUCUAACUGAUUACAACAAUUAAAGUGAUGUCAUAUCGUCCGAACAUCAUUUCCCUAGCAUCCUUAUCAGUUUUCAUUCGCACCCAACCAAAGAUAAUGUCGAGUCUCUCAAUACUUCUAUUUUUCCCCUUUCUGGUAUUUUCCCAUCUAACCAACGAACCAACUCCCUCUUCAGUUGAUCGAAAGUAGUGAUGUUCCAGAAGAGCAUCAACAUCUGAGGUUUGUCUCUCGCAUAAAUCAUCUUUCCAUAGCGGCGACGAACACCAAACAUGAUUGUCAAAUGAUGAAAUGAGAUGUGGAUAAAUGAUUCACACAACACCUCUAUUUAUAACAAAAAAAUUGUAAAAUACACUGAGGUGCCAAUCCAAUUGGCGUCUCCUUUCAAAAAAUACACAUGGGUGUAAAUUGAAUUGGCUGCACCAUGUGCCCUAGCCAAUCCAAUUGGCGUCUGCACUCUAUUUUUAAGAGGAGUCGGCAAUUGGAUUGAUGUCUCCUCCUAAAAAUGGGGUAGUUUGAGAAUUUUUUUGAAAACGUAUUUUGAGUUUUUUUUUAAAAAAUGGAUUAUUUUGGUAAAAAAAAUCGCAAUUUUUCUUCGAAAUAAGAAAAUGGGUAUAUUUUUUUGAACUUGAAAAGUGUAGAUGCAGAAAUCUUGAAUUUUGAUAUGGAACUGAACGGUUGAAUAACAAGUAUGGUGAAACUGGAAUUACGAAAAAAGAAAUCAAUUUCUUCUUUCAAUUUUUUUUCUUUCAUUUUUUAUAAACUAGAUUUUCAUGACUUUUGAUUUAUCAUGUGAGAAAGAGGUCAUGCGAGUGGUGACAAUGGUUACUUUGUUUUGAUACACCAGGAUAUGUGAAAAAUGGAUAUCUGAAAAAUGGAUACACGUCAAAAUGUUUAUUGAAUGAAGAUAUCACCAUUUCUUUUUUUUUUAAACUUCAAUUUCAAAUUUCAAAUAAGAGAGAGGAUACUCAUGAUUCAUGGGCGCCGCUGGUUGGUUCGAUUGGGGGUCCCUUCCUUUCACCAACAACACUUUAUAUAAUUAAAAUUUAAUAAAAUGACAAAACAGACCCUUAAUAUUUUAAAAGAUAAAAAGUCGAGUUAAACAAAUUAAACUAAAUAAAAUUUAAAUAUUUUAAAAUAAAUAAAAUAAAAUAAAAAUGAAAAUAUAAUUAGGUCUAUUUAUUUUUUAAGAAUAUGUUGACAGAAAAUAAAAAUAAAAAGACCGAAAGUGAAUAAAAAAUUGGCGUAAAAAUUUUCGAAAAAUUAAAAUGAUCAGCGGAAAUAAAUUUCUGAAAAACAUUCAUGUUUUGAUCAAAUUUUAAAGUAAAAAAUGAUGGAUUAAAAUGCUCAGGUUGAUCAAAAUGCGAAAGAAAAAGGAACCGAAAAAACAAAACGAGCAUACCAAGUUAAACUCUGCGAAUCUUAGAUUAAUAAAGUUGACGUCUACAAGCUCGAUUUUAAAUUUUUCGCCUAUUUAUUUUGCGUACAUUUGAGAAUCAAUUCGACUAGUCUGUUUGUAGAUCCGAAAAUUUAUUCUGACUGAGAUUUUAAGCAUUAUGCAAGAUGAAAUGCAUGCUAUGAUGUGUAGAUUAUGCAAAUGUCAUGAUAAAUGUAUUCAUUCGAUAAUUCAUGAUCAAAAUUGGGGUAUGACAAUCAUCAUAUCCCUAGCAAAAAAAAGAGUCCUCCAUGCAUUCAGAACAUAUCAUAUCAUUUCAUCAAAGUACAAAAUUCAGGUCCUUUAGUAUUUAACUAUCUCCCACCGUGAUCAUAUGAAGAGUAACCUUCUUCAUAUUCUCUGGUCGAAGUUACUUAAAUAUGGGGAAUUGUCAUAUCCCAAAUUUUCCUCCCAUUCAAUAAAUCGGUACAUACAUCAUGACAUUUGCAUCAUCUAGAUAGUAUAACAUGCAUUUCAUAUUGCAUAAUGCCUAAAAUUUCGACCAAAAUAAACUUUUGGAUUUACAGACAAACCGGUUGAACAAAUCCUCAAAUGUGCGUGAAAUAAACGGGCGGAAAACUUCAAAAUCGAGUCUCCAGACGUCAAUUUUAUUAAUAUACGCUUCACGUAGUUUAACCUAGCAUGUUCAUUUUAGUUUCUAACUGCUUUUUCGAUCGCAUUUUGAUUAGGCUGAGUAUUUUUAACCGAUCGUUUUCUACUUCAAAAUUUGAUCAAAACAUAUCUGUUUUUCAAAAAUUUAUUUCAUGCUGAUCAUUUUGGUGUAUUCAUUUUAAUUUUUUUUUAUUAUUAUUUUUAAAUAUUAAAAAAAUUAACUAUAUAUUCAAUUUAUAUUUAUUUUAAAAUAUUUAAAUUUUAUUUCACGAUUUUAAUUCAUUUUAACACUGAAAAGUUAUUGUUGAAAUUAUUAAAAAAUGUAAUCCUAAGUGACCUCUUAUUUAAACUAAAAUUGAUAGCAAAAGAAAGAGGUGAGCCUAUCCCCCAUUUUAAAGAUCCCCCAUUUUAAAGACAACCGCCCCAUUUGUUGGAGGCUCUCCCUAUCAGUGACUACUCCCAAAUAAAAAAUAAAAUAAUAAUGGAAGAAGUUCUUGAGUCUUCUCCAUUUAAUUGCACACAAAUCUAUUCUUUGGAAAAUAGAACCACACCUUCUUCUUAGAGGUCUCUCUGUUCUUCUUCACACAUAAACGAAAACAUCAUAACUAUUACUUUUGCUCCCUCAAACACACAAAAACCUGCAUAUUUUCUUAAAACACCCACUAACAGUAACCCUUGUUUCUUACAUCUAGCGUAUUCACCUUUAAGGGCGGAGAAGAAUUGACCAAUACGCUAUUAGACACAAAAUAUUGAUUUCUUGGUCCAAAUAAAGAGUGUAUACUAUUAACUUACUCCUUCAUGAUUUUGAAUGGGUAUAUGUUUCUAACAUAUAUCGAUAUACUUCAAUUUUUAUUUCAGUGACUCUACUUAAUAACUAUUUAUAAACAUUAAUUUAAUGUAUUUAUUCACUGUUAUUUGGGGGUCUUUUGAUUUCCCCCUAUGAAAGAAACACAUAUUUCAUCAUUCUCAUUUUAAAAUUCUUCGAUUUUAUCCUUUCAAGAUCAUAAGUUCAACAUGUUGUUGAUCACAAGGAGGAUGUAAUCUGUAUUUUUUUAUAAGGGAAAACCAAUUUUUAUAAGGGAAAACCAAAAAUUAAUCUGGCGGUUAAAUAUUUUUGAAUUACUUGGAUGAUAAUGGGUACAAAAGAUCAUAAGUAAUAUUAGAUGUGUAAAUAUGAAAUUUUAUAAUCAAUAUUUUACUUAAAUUUUUUAAAGAUAUGUAUUUUUUUCUUCUAAAAAUAGUUAAAAUACCUUUAAAAUAUUUUUGGUAUCGGCAGGUAAAAAAAGAUUUUUCCUUUUUGUUCAACUUUAUUUUGUAUUUUUGGUCUUUAAUGAGAAUUUGGAAUCCCUUCUCAUAUGGAGAAAGACUCAAAUACAAUUACUACAUUUGUUUCAUUUAUUUAAGUGGAGAGCAUGAUUUAAGGUUGAAAGAGAUAGAGAGAAAAUAAGAAUUCAAAAGAGAGAAUUUUUUUUUCGUUUUUCUACUAUCAGUCUCACUAAAUCAACGAUCCUCGAUUUGUUAACUGUCGGAUCGAGCUCAAAUUUGGAGGGCAGACUCAUAACACAUACAUCUAACUUUGGUUCAUUCAUAAUUUCAAAAUAAUGUCUAAGGUGAGAGUUAUCUACUUCGCACUGAAGCUGCAGAUAUGAGAAUUUUUUCAGGUUUUGAUUCUUAUUUGUAAGCUAGUUUGCUUUGUGAUUUGCGGUUGUUAGCACUAGUUUGUCAAUAUAAGACUCUCUUGUACUCUUAAUUGAUUAUAGUGGAGUUAUUUUCUUGAUCCAGACGACUCGUGGUUUUUACUUUCAUAUUGAGGAGUUUUCCACGUUAAGAAUAUCAGUGUUCUUUUGUGCCUUUAUUUGUUCGAUUUGCCGUCUUAUAUUUGUUGUUGAUCCUCAAGGUUCCUACAAGUCUGAGGAAUUUUUAUUCCACUGCGUAUUGGUCUAUUAUUGUGUCUUAAUUUCCCUUCAGAGUGGCAUCAGAGCUUUUGGUUAAGGACUAUUUUACUUGUUUGAAUGAUGAAGUCAAAUACAAAGAUGAAGAUGGUAUUGUUGAAUGGUUUUAAUUACCAUUUAUGGAAGGGAAAUAUGAAAGAAUUACUAUUUGUGAAGAAGUUGUAUUUACUAGUUUUUAGUUCCGCAAAGCCGGAUUAUGUGUCUGAUGAAGAAUGAGAGUUUGAACAUCAACAAAAAUGUGGUUUUAUUCGAUAAUAUGUAAAAGAUAAUGUUUAUAAUCAUAUUUCUAAUGAGACACAUGCAAAAACUUUGUGGGAUAAGAUAGAGUCCUUGUAUGCCUCUAAAUCAGGGAAUAAUAAAUUGUUCUUGUUGAAUAGCUUCAUAAGUUUGAAGUAUAAGGAGAGGACUUCUAUUUCAGACCAACUAAGUGAAUUUCAAAGGAUCCUUAAUCAAAUGUCAGGAUUGAGUAACAAAUUUGAUGAUGAACUUUUGUGACUAUUUCUAUUGUUAUCUUUACUAGAGUCUUGAGAGACGUUUCAGGUUUCUAUCACAAGUUUUGCUCCAAGAGGUGUUAUUUCUUUGGAAACAACUAAGGAUGGUAUUCUUAAUGAGGAGAUGAGAAGGAAGGCACAAGGUUCUUCAUCUCAACCCGAGGUACAUCUGAUUGGAAAUAAGGGAAAAGUCAUAAAAAGGAACUAAAGGGUGGCAACGAGAAUAGCAUAAGCAAGUUCAAAUUGCGAUACAAGAAUCUGGAGUGUCAUUAUUGUCACAAAAUAGGACACGUACAGAAGUAUUGCUAUUAGUGGAAAAAAGAUAACAAAGGCAAGAAUGGUAAGUCUAAACAAAGAGACCAUGAAGAUCAUGAUGAUGCUCGUGUUACUACUACUACAACUAGUGAUGAUCUUGCUAUUCUCCGUAAUCAUGAGUCUGUUAAUUUUGUAUCAAACGAAAGUAUGUGGAUAGUUGACAGUGGUGCUACAUUGCAUGUUACACCAAGGAAGGAUUUUUCACAUCUUAUACUUCUGGUGAUUUUGGAGUGUUGAAGAUGGGUAAUGAUGGUGUAUCUAAGGUAAUUGGUGUUAGUGAUAUUUUCUUGAAAACCAACAUGGGAAUGCAAUUGUUGCUUAGAGGUGUCAAACAUGCUCCAGAUGUCUAUAUUAAUUUGAUAUUAGUGCAUAUGCUAGAUGAUUGUCGUUAUGAUAACCACUUUGGUUAUGGAAACUAGAAACUCAACAAAGGUAACUUGGUUGUGGCUAGAAGGGAAAAGCUUUCUAAAUUGUAUUGGACAAAAGCUUUGGUUGCUAUGGAUAGUGUGAAUGCUAUCGACAUGAAAGCAUCUUUGUGGUACCAAAGACUUAGUCAUAUUAGUGAAAAGGGGCUUAAUGUUUUGGCCAAAAAGGAUGUUCUUCCUGGACUAAAGAAUGUAGAUUUGGAGAAGUGUUCUCAUUGCAUGGCUGGUAAACAGACUAGAGUAUCUUUCAAGAGACAUCCUCCCUCAGAGAAGUCAAAGUUGCUUCAAUUGGUAUAUUAUGAUGUUUGUGGUCCAUUAAAAGUAAAGUCCAUUAGUGUUACACUUUAUUUUGUUACCUUUAUUAAUGAUUGCUCCAGGAAAUUAAGGGUUUAUGCCUUGAAGAUAAAAUAUCAAGUGUUGGAAAAGUUCAAAGAAUUACAUGCUUUGGUUGAGAGAAAGACAAGCGAGAAGCUGAAAUGUGUUCGUUCAGACAACAAUGAAGAGUAUUAUGAACCAUUUGAUUCCUAUUGAAAGCAGUAUGGUGUUGCAUAUGGAAAGACUCCUCAUACAAAUCCUCAAUUGAAUGGUUUAACAGAGAGGAUGAAUCAAACACUAAUUGAGAGAGUAAGGUGUAUGCUCUCUGAAGCUAAGUUGCCUAAUGAUUAUUGGGGCAAAGCACUUUACAAGGAAGUGCAUAUUCUUAAUCUCACUCCUACUGUUGCUUUGAACAGUUAAGUUCCAGACAAAAUUUGAUUUGAAAAGAAUGUCAAGUAUGAUCAUUUGAGAGUAUUUGGUUGUAAGGCUUUUGUGCGUAUUCUAAAGGAUGAAAGAUCCAAGUUGGAUGCAAAUUCAAAACAAUGUAUCUUCAUCGGCUAUGGGCAAGAUGAGUUUGGUUACAGGUUAUAUGAUCCUGUAGGGAAGAAGCUUAUUCGAAUCCGCGAUGUAGUAUUUAUGGAAGGCCAAACUAUUGAAGACAUUGAUAAGGUAUAAAAGGUUACACCCAAGAAAGAUAUCAGUUUGUCUAAUGUUGAUCCGGUUCGGUUACCUAGUCAUAAUUUGGAUGCUAUUGGUGGUGAUGAUCACAAUGGUGAACCAUAUGAUUAUGUUAAUGAUCAAAAACUUAGAGAUGAGGUAAAUAUUCCAACUAAUGAUGGUGAAGGGGAGAGAAAUAUAUCACAAGAUGAGAAUCUUGGUAAAGCUCAAGAAUCAUCUCAAGUUCAACUUAGGAGGUCUAACAGGAAGAUACAACCUUAUAUAAGGUAUAAUUCUGAUGAGUAUGUGACCUGACUGAUGAGGGUGAACCCGAGUGUUUUCAAGAGGCCAUGGAAAGUGAUGAAAAUCAAAAGUGGAUGGAUGCAAUGCAUGAUGAGAUGAAAUCAUUGCAUGAUAAUCACACUUAUGAUUUUGUGAAGCUGCCUAAAGGCAAAAAGGCUUUGGGAAACAAAUGGAUUUAUAGAGUUAAACAUGAUAGUAACUCUAAGUCUCCAAGAUAUAAAUCCAGAUUAGUAGUGAAAGGUUUCCGUAAAAGAAAUGAUGUUGAUUUUAAUGAUAUUUUCUCACUUUUUGUAAAGAUGUCAUCAAUUAGAACCGUGUUGAGUUUGGUUGCUACUCUUGAUUUAGAGGUUGAGCAAAUGGACGUGAAACCGACUUUCCUUCAUGGUGAUUUGGAGGAACAGAUCUACAUGAAACAGCUCGACGGUUUUCAAGUUAAAGUUAAAGAAGAUCAUGUGUGUAGAUUGAGAAAGAGUUUAUAUGGGUUGAAGCAAGCUCCAAGGUAGUGGUACAAGAAGUUUGUGUCUGUUAUGUGUGAUCAAGGAUACCAAAAGACUACUUCAGACCAUUGUAUCUUUGUUAGAAAUUUUCUAACGAUGAAUUCAUUAUCUUAUUGUUAUAUGGUGAUGACAUGCUUAUUGUAAGGAAAAAUAUUUCUAACAUUAACAGGUUAAAGAAGAAAUUGGGGGAGUCAUUUUCCAUGAAAGACAUGGGAACACCUAAACAGAUUCCUGGCAUUAGAAUCAUGCGUGACAGAAAAGAAAAGAAACUUUAGAUGUCACAAGAAUACUAUAUCGAAAGAGUGCUGCAAAGAUUCAAAAUAGAAAGUUCUAAGACAGUAAGCACUCAUAUCGUUACUCAUUUCAAGUUGAGUUCUAAUCAAAGUCCUUCAAGUGAAGAUGAAGCGUUUGAUAUAAAAUGUGUUCCUUAUGCGUAUGUUGUAGGUAGUUUGAUGUAUGCAAUGGUGUGUACAAGACCAGAUAUAGGACAUGUUGUUGGUACAAUUAGUAGAUUUUUGUCAAAUCCAAGUAGAGAGCAUUGGAAUGCUGUAAAAUGGAUUUUAAGGUAUCUUUGCCGUACUACUUUUGCGAGGCUUUGUUUUAGAAGAGAUAAGCCUACUCUAGUGGUGUAUUCUGACUCUGAUAUGGCUGGAGACAUUGAUUCUACAAAGUCCACUUAGGGCUACAUGAUUAAAUUUGUAGGGAAAGUUGUGGCUUGACAGUCCAGAUUGUAAAAGUGUGUAGCACUGUCUACUACAAAGGCUGAGUUCAUUGCAAUUACCAAAGCAUGCACAGAGUUACUAUGGUUGAAGAAAAUUUUGCAGGAGCUUGAUUUUGUUCAAGACAAAUAUGUGUUAUUU
rnacentral:lncRNA from 1 species